rnacentral:rRNA from 1 species
CGGACGGGUGAGUAACGCGUAGGUAUCUAUCCAUGGGUGGGGGAUAACACUGGGAAACUGGUGCUAAUACCGCAUGACACCUGAGGGUCAAAGGCGCAAGUCGCCUGUGGAGGAGCCUGCGUUUGAUUAGCUAGUUGGUGGGGUAAAGGCCUACCAAGGCGAUGAUCAAUAGCUGGUUUGAGAGGAUGAUCAGCCACACUGGGACUGAGACACGGCCCAGACUCCUACGGGAGGCAGCAGUGGGGAAUAUUGGACAAUGGGGGCAACCCUGAUCCAGCAAUGCCGCGUGUGUGAAGAAGGUCUUCGGAUUGUAAAGCACUUUCGACGGGGACGAUGAUGACGGUACCCGUAGAAGAAGCCCCGGCUAACUUCGUGCCAGCAGCCGCGGUAAUACGAAGGGGGCUAGCGUUGCUCGGAAUGACUGGGCGUAAAGGGCGUGUAGGCGGUUUGUACAGUCAGAUGUGAAAUCCCCGGGCUUAACCUGGGAGCUGCAUUUGAUACGUGCAGACUAGAGUGUGAGAGAGGGUUGUGGAAUUCCCAGUGUAGAGGUGAAAUUCGUAGAUAUUGGGAAG